rnacentral:rRNA from 1 species
GACGAACGCUGGCGGCGUGCUUAACACAUGCAAGUCGAACGGAAAGGCCCCCUUGUGGGGUACUCGAGUGGCGAACGGGUGAGUAACACGUGAGUAACCUACCCUUGACUUUGGGAUAACUUCAGGAAACUGGGGCUAAUACCGGAUAGGAGCUCCUGCUGCAUGGUGGGGGUUGGAAAGUUUCGGCGGUUGGGGAUGGACUCGCGGCUUAUCAGCUUGUUGGUGGGGUAGUGGCUCACCAAGGCUUUGACGGGGAGCCGGCCUGAGGGGGUGACCGGCCAGAUGGGGCUUGAGAAACGGCCCAGCCCCCCACGGGGGGGAGGGGGGGGAAAUUUUGCCAAAGGGGCGGAAGCCUGAUGGAGCAACCCCGGGGGGGGGAGGGCGGCCUUCGGGUUGAAACCCGCUUUCGCUUGUGACGAAGCGUGGGGAACGGUAAUGGGAAAAGAAGCACGGGCUAACUACGU